rnacentral:rRNA from 1 species
GACGAACGCCGGCGGCGUGCUUAACACAUGCAAGUCGAGCGGUAAGGCCCUUUCGGGGGUACGACGAGCGGCGAACGGGUGAGUAACACGUGGGUGACCUGCCCUCAGCUCUGGGAUAAGCCUGGGAAACUGGGUCUAAUACUGGAUAUGACUCCACGGUGCAUGUCGUGGGGUGGAAAGCCUUGUGCGGCUGAGGAUGGGCCCGCGGCCUAUCAGCUUGUUGGUGGGGUGAUGGCCUACCAAGGCGACGACGGGUAGCCGGCCUGAGAGGGCGACCGGCCACACUGGGACUGAGACACGGCCCAGACUCCUACGGGAGGCAGCAGUGGGGAAUCUUGCGCAAUGGGCGAAAGCCUGACGCAGCGACGCCGCGUGAGGGAUGACGGCCUGG